rnacentral:lncRNA from 1 species
AACUUACCGUGGCCGGUUGGCUAUUUUUGAAAAAGUUGUGCCUCUGCACUCAGCAGGCGGAGCAGAGAGAAAGGUAACAUCACACACACAAAAGUAGAUGAUAAGAAUUUAAGAUCUCUGGACGUGUGCCUGUACUCACCUACUUGAGAGGCUCAAGCACGGAGUGGAGGUUCAAUAGAUGAGAAGGCCAACCCUAGUCACGGCUUCUUCCUUGUACACAACUGGGAUAUCUGUUUGACUACUCAGAGAUCACAUGAGGUCCCCAACAGUGACAAAUUCUACAGACAAUGAAAUGGAAGAAAAGCAGACACACUGUCAGAGGAAAUGGCAACCUACUGCAGCCAUCAUGCAAACCACUGCAGCUUUUCGACAACUGAACAAGUGGAAGAUUCAUGUCAUUGUUCAUUAUUUGAACUGGGAAAAGGGAUGGACUUGCAAGAAGAUUAGGAGGGUACCAUAACACAUUCCCUACAGUAAUUAGGGCUUCCCUUAACAAAGCCAAGGCUGGCACCUGGGUAGAUGUUCUUUGUUGAUUACGAAGUCUUAAUGUGGACUAGCUUCAGAAGCUUCUCAGAGCCAAACCGUCAUCUCUUUGCCUUUCUGCUACGAAGACCACACUCCCAUCCAGGCCACCCACCAGGUUCCAUUUGGUGGAACCCCCACCAAGGACACCUUUAGCUGUUGAUUGCUUUAUAGAAUAACCGGGCUGGAUGACAGCCCUGAGCAGUUUGCCAGUGUGGUCUAGUUUUCUAGGUUUCCCUGGUGAGUCAACAGGAAUGUAUCUACUUGUCUCUGGGAAUUGCAGUUCUACAUCAUCACCUAAAGUCUUCCAGAUUUUCCUGAAGAGAGGCAAAUCUGCAACGAGACGAGAAAUCAGUGAUAGGAAGAAAACUGUAAAGGUGUAAAACACAACUGAAAGCUGACUGUUGAAUUAACAUCGUGGUGAACAAGUGAACAGGACAGAAAGGGCUCCAAAUCUCCAGGAGCUGGUGAUCAACCAGGAAAGGGAAACAUUGACCGGACGGGAAAGCCACGAUUCACAGCCGUGAUUCCAGAAAGGGGCCUUUGUUGAAUCUGUAUUUGGCUACACCAAUAGAAGAAAGCCAGUCAACAUCAUGUUGUGAUCGUCCCUGGCUCUUUUCUUCCGAGCUGUUUAUGAAGCAGGGAUCUCACAGGAAGCUGGGCUGUAAAGUUCUGGGCAGAGAUCUUGGAUGUGAGUCAUGGAAAUGAACCUGAACUGAGAGUUGCUUUCCAAAGACUAUCUCACCACUGGGAUUCAGGCUGAACAAAGGAGUUAGAUUCAAGUCCUUUCUCCUGAACUGUGCUGACCACACCUUUCAUACCAAGAUACGUUGAUUGCACCCAGAGACCAAAGGACACCGUGAUUUGAUCCCCUGAGCUGAAUGCUUUCCAUGUUCCAGGCAGUGUGACAGUGUCUCUCACGUGAGAAAGGGUCUCUAUUAUGUAGCUCUGGAUGUCCUGAAACUUGCUAUUGAGACCAGGCUGGCCUAGACCUUGUGGAUAUCUACCUGUCUCUGUUUCCUGAUCACUGAUAUUAA